AACGAACGCUGGCGGCAUGCCUAACACAUGCAAGUCGAACGAGACCUUCGGGUCUAGUGGCGCACGGGUGCGUAACGCGUGGGAACCUGCCCUUAGGUUCGGAAUAACUCCCCGAAAGGGGUGCUAAUACCGGAUAAUGUCUUCGGACCAAAGAUUUAUCGCCUUUGGAUGGGCCCGCGUUGGAUUAGCUAGUUGGUAGGGUAAAAGCCUACCAAGGCGACGAUCCAUAGCUGGUCUGAGAGGAUGAUCAGCCACACUGGGACUGAGACACGGCCCAGACUCCUACGGGAGGCAGCAGUGGGGAAUAUUGGACAAUGGGCGAAAACCUGAUCCAGCAAUGCCGCGUGAGUGAUGAAGGCCUUAGGGUUGUAAAGCUCUUUUACCCGGGAUGAUAAUGACAGUACCGGGAGAAUAAGCUCCGGCUAACUCCGUG
rnacentral:rRNA from 1 species